rnacentral:rRNA from 1 species
AUACGGAGGGUGCGAGCGUUAAUCGGAAUUACUGGGCGUAAAGCGCGCGUAGGCGGUUUGUUGAGUCGGAUGUGAAAUCCCCGGGCUCAACCUGGGACCUGCAUCCGAUACUGACAGGCUAGAGUCUGGUAGAGGGGGGUAGAAUUCCUGGUGUAGCGGUGAAAUGCGUAGAUAUCAGGAGGAAUACCAGUGGCGAAGGCGGCCCCCUGGACUGAGACUGACGCUGAGGUGCGAAAGCGUGGGGAGCAAACAGGAUUAGAUACCCUAGUAGUCC